ACGGAAUCUGAGACCUCCAUUUCUCAUUUUUUCUUUUUCUGGUAAUUUGGUAGAGACAGAUGGGAAUUUGGUAUGGAAAGGUGGCUUUCAGGAUUCUCAAUGAAAAACGUGCCAACAUGCAGUGUCUCAGAGCCAAACAUACGAAAGAGGAGAAAACCUAUAAUCCUUUGAGCAUUUUUAAUUUUUGGAGAAACAGCAAUACCAGCUCACAGAGGAGGAUCAGAAUUCCAGGGAGCCGUGGCCAGGGCUGAGGCGGAGGCAUGAGUGCUGACGGGAGAUGGCAGCUGCGGCACCUCCCGAGAAGCUGCCACUUCCCUGAAACGCCGGCCCUGCUCACGGAGCCCAGAAAUUCAAGCAGAAGGACGGAGGAGCCUCAGACUUGGAUCCCAGCUUCCGAGAACACAAGGGUGACGCUGCUGGCCACACCCCACGUUCGUCUGCAGCACGGAACUUAGCAGAGAAUCACCACGUGGGGUCUGCAGUCACCCACUCUCAGGGGGCGCUUCCUAGGUCCGCAGGGACAGGGGAAACCAGAGUGUUUCUCAGACAACCAACGUUACUUGAAGAUUCAGGGAAAACUAUUUGAGAGGGUUAUUUUUAUAUUAAGAUAAUCACGAAUAUAUUAUAGAGUGGAAAAUGCCUAUUAUCUUUCAUUAAAGUAGCUUUUGAAGAAAUUUUGCCACGCCCUUAUAAACUACACCCCUCAACUCCAAAGAGUAUGUAUUUCACUCCUCCGAUAGCAUUGAGGAAGCCUCACUGGAAAAUCUGGGCAAUUAUGAUUGCUAGAUGGAAGAACUCACAGACAGUGGUGACUUCUGGGGCAGGGAGGACAAGGACGGGGAUUUCCAGGCUCACACUACACGGUGCCGAGUCUUUUUCCUGUGUAACAGGAAACAAAAGAUAAAAAGAAAAACCCUAAUAAAAU
rnacentral:lncRNA from 10 species